UGGGGGAUAUUGCGCAAUGGGGGCAACCCUGACGCAGCAACGCCGCGUGAAGGAUGAAGGUUUUCGGAUUGUAAACUUCUUUUAUUAAGGACGAAAAAUGACGGUACUUAAUGAAUAAGCUCCGGCUAACUACGUGCCAGCAGCCGCGGUAAUACGUAGGGAGCAAGCGUUGUCCGGAUUUACUGGGUGUAAAGGGUGCGUAGGCGGCUUUGCAAGUCAGAUGUGAAAUCUAUGGGCUCAACCCAUAAACUGCAUUUGAAACUGUAGAGCUUGAGUGAAGUAGAGGCAGGCGGAAUUCCCCGUGUAGCGGUGAAAUGCGUAGAGAUGGGGAGGAGCACCAGUGGCGAAGGCGGCCUGCUGGGCUUUAACUGACGCUGAGGCACGAAAGCGUGGGUAGCAAACAGGAUUAGAUACCCUGGUAGUCCACGCUGUAAACGAUGAUUACUAGGUGUGGGGGGUCUGACCCCUUCCGUGCCGGAGUUAACACAAUAAGUAAUCCACCUGGGGAGUACGGCCGCAAGGUUGAAACUCAAAGGAAUUGACGGGGGCCCGCACAAGCAGUGGAGUAUGUGGUUUAAUUCGAAGCAACGCGAAGAACCUUACCAGGUCUUGACAUCCAACUAACGAAGUAGAGAUACAUUAGGUGCCCUUCGGGGAAAGUUGAGACAGGUGGUGCAUGGUUGUCGUCAGCUCGUGUCGUGAGAUGUUGGGUUAAGUCCCGCAACGAGCGCAACCCUUGCUAUUAGUUGCUACGCAAGAGCACUCUAAUAGGACUGCCGUUGACAAAACGGAGGAAGGUGGGGACGACGUCAAAUCAUCAUGCCCCUUAUGACCUGGGCUACACACGUACUACAAUGGAUGUUAACAGAGGGAAGCAAGACAGCGAUGUGGAGCAAACCCCUAAAAACAUUCUCAGUUCAGAUUGCAGGCUGCAACCCGCCUGCAUGAAGAUGGAAUUGCUAGUAAUCGCGGAUCAGCAUGCCGCGGUGAAUACGUUCCC
rnacentral:rRNA from 1 species